rnacentral:rRNA from 1 species
UACGGGAGGCAGCAGUGGGGAAUAUUGCACAAUGGGCGCAAGCCUGAUGCAGCCAUGCCGCGUGUAUGAAGAAGGCCUUCGGGUUGUAAAGUACUUUCAGUCGUGAGGAAGGUGUUAAGGUUAAUAACCUUAGCAAUUGACGUUAGCGACAGAAGAAGCACCGGCUAACUCCGUGCCAGCAGCCGCGGUAAUACGGAGGGUGCGAGCGUUAAUCGGAAUUACUGGGCGUAAAGGGCACGCAGGCGGUUAAUUAAGUUGGAUGUGAAAUCCCCGGGCUUAACCUGGGAAUGGCAUUCAAGACUGGUUAGCUAGAGUCUUGUAGAGGGGGUAGAAUUCCAUGUGUAGCGGUGAAAUGCGUAGAGAUGUGGAGGAAUACCGGGUGGCGAAGGCGGCCCCUGGGACAAGACUGACGCUCAUGUGCGAAAGCGUGGGGAGCAAACGAGGAUUAGAUACC